rnacentral:rRNA from 1 species
GGUGAACGCUGGCGGCGUGCUUAAGACAUGCAAGUCGAACGCAGUCUUCGGACUGAGUGGCGCACGGGUGAGUAACACGUAACUGACCUACCCCCAAGUCGCGGAUAACUGGCCGAAAGGUCAGCUAAUACGUGAUGUGAUGUCCCCUUUCUGGGGGGCUAGUAAAGGUUUACUGCUUGGGGGUGAGGUUGCGUGCCAGAGGCUAGGUGGCGGGGUAAAGGCCCACCAAGGCAACAACGGAUAGCCGGCCGGUGAGGGUGGCCGGCCACAGGGGCACUGAGACACGGGUCCCACUCCUACGGGAGGCAGCAGUUAGGAAUCUUCCGCAAUGGGCGAAAGCCUGAUGGAGCGACGCCGCGUGAGGGAUGAAGGUUCUCGGAUCGUAAACCUCUGAAUCAGGGACGAAAGACGCGUAAGCGGGAUGACGGUACCUGAGUAAUAGCACCGGCUAACUCCGUGCCAGCCGCCGCGGUAA